CCUCUUGCUCCACUCCAGCUGGCCACCUGGGCUGCUACUGGAUCUGCCUGGCUCAGGGCUAGGAUAUAAAAGCUUCGGCAUCCAGAUGGGUGUUUUUAGAGGUUGGGACCCUGAGACCUGGACCAGACUGGGUGAGAACUACACAGUGGUGGCCCAGGCCCUCUUGCUGGAAUUUUGGGCUGCUUAUGUCACAGUGGAAGUAGACAGAAGAAAACGGUACUCUUGGACGGGCACAGUGGCUCAUGCCUGUAAUCCCAGAACUUUGGGAGGCCAAGGUGGAUGGAUCACCUGAGGUCAGGAGUUCAAGACCAGCCUGGCCAACAUGGUAAAAGCCCAUCUCUACUAAAAAUACAAAAAUUAGCUGGGUGUGAUGGCGGAUGCUUGUCAUCCCAGCAACUUGGGAGGCUGAGGCAGGAGAAUCGCUUGAACCCUGGAGGCGGAGGUUGCAGUGAGCCAAGAUCACGCCACCGUACUCCAACCUGGGUGACAGAGUGAGACUCUGUCUAAAAAAAACAAAAACAAAGACAAAAACGGUGAUCUAGUAACACAGAAAUGGCGACUGAGCACUUGGUCAGGGGACCUUGCACACAGGCUUGGCUCUGUCCUGUGAAUUUCUUGUGUUCCAGAAGUUCAAGGGCCUCAUCUUACUCUUUGCAGAAAUGGAACUCCAUCCUGAAGAUAAAAGAUGUCUGCUGCUGGGCUCACUUGAAGAUACUUCCUAACUUACAUGAAUAAUUAGCAUGCAUGGCCAGAGACUUGAAUACAGUGGGUGCUAAUUAAGUAGUUGUUGAAUUGAACUGGAAAGCCAAAGUGAAAUGCUCUCAAUUCUCACAAUGGAUUGUUCCUUUAUUUUAAAAAUCUCAUUCAAGAGCCACACUGUGAUCGCCUACGUGAAUCAUGCCUAUCUGUGUUAGCUCCACCUCUUCUGAUGCAGCAAAAGCGUUUUAAAAAAGCUGCACCUCCCAUUCGGAAGCUUGCCUUCCUACUGGGAAGACAGCUCCAGUGUGUACAUUCAUUCCUUGCUGGAGAGGUGGGUGUUGGGUGGAGUUGGGUGGGGGAGGAGGUGUUAAAACACCAUGGGAACAGGUUGCAUUGAAACUAUUAAAAGUCAAGGGUGGCGCCUGUGUUUUCCCACUUAAUUAACCGAGUAACACAGUUACUAGCUAAAUGGAACUUCACGGAGAGGAUGCCCCACCCGAGCUGGCUGUGUGGAAGCAAUAGGAGCUUGAGAGUUGCAACGCUGACCGCCAUCACUCUCCCUGCAUCCCGCCAUGAAAGGGAAAACACAAGUCACCACGAGGCCACUGCAAGUGGGGGGACAGGGCCGUAGACUGGACGUCAGGACACCCAGGAUGGAGCCUGGGCUCAGCCUUUAACUCACCGAAUGACCUUGGCAGGCCACUUCACGCUGCUGCAAUUCAGUGUCCUCAUCCAUAAACGCAUUGGGCAGAUGACCCUCGAGGUCCCUUUCAUCACAGACACUUUAAGUCUGAAAUUUCCUUUGGGCUUUAACAUUCUCCGCCCGAGAGGGCAGAACACUGAGGCAUCAAGACACAGACUCUGAAGCCGUGGAGUGGCUGGGGGGCCCAGACGCGGCUCAGUCAGGCGGGCACUGGCAGAACAGUUUCGGCACAGCGUGGUCCACAAAUGAAGGGCUGACCACUCAGCAACUCUGAAGACAUCGGGGUGGCUAAUGAUAUAAUUUUUCCAGUUUUUCAUAGCUAUUGAGGACAUUUAUGAAAAUCUCUUUAUAUGCAAGCAAUCGGCCACAGACCUUUAGACUGAAGUUUAGUGUUGUCCAUCUUCACAAAGAAGUGCAUCUCCUAAAAAGAACUGUGCCUUGGAAAAGUGAGAUGUAAAUUGCACAUGGUCUGAUAAAGUGGUUUGCUGUCAAAAUAGAGCCAAAUAAUAAGAUGUGCCGGAUGUAGGCAAAUAAUAUCGUUCACACUCAAAUAAUACGCAGAGCCGGUGGGGAAAUAAUAUUUUGCAUAAAUAGCUUCAGAGAGGGACGUUUAGUUCUACCACCGUCUGUUCACAUCUGAUCAAAUUUUCUCCACAAGGGGUGAGCUAAGCAGGUCUCCAGCUCAGCAUUUCCUGGAACUGCUGGGAAGCAAACAGACUCCCCUGGGAAACAUUUUUUUUUCUGUUUUGUUUAAGGAGACUCAGAAUUUUAUGCAAUUUGGAAAAAUGCAUGUCCUAGAUCAUAAAAUUAAUGUAGCAUUUUGGGUGUUAGUUUAAGGUUGAAAAAUGGCGAAAUGAAAAAUAUCAAAUGUGAAAGUAUUCCUUUUUUUGAGACAGAGUCUCACUCUGUCACUCACGCUGUAGUGUAGUGGCACAGUCAUAGCUCACUGCAGCCUUGAAAUCCUAGGCUUGAUUAAUCCUCCCAACUCAGCCUCUUGAGUAUCUGGGACUACAGGCAUGCAUCACCGUGCCAGCUGAUUUUUAAAAUUUAUUUUUAGUAGAGACAAGGUCUCACCAUGUUGCCCGGGCUAGUUUCAAACUCCUGAGCUCAAGCAAUCCUCCCACCUCAGCCUCCCAAAGUUCUGAGAUUACAGGUGCAAGCCACCGCACCUGGCCUGAAGUAUUCUUCUAGGUAGAUAAGUACAAAUGCAGUCCCUUACACAGAAUAAGAGCUCAAAGGAAUGUUGUUAUGAGGCAUUUGUGUUCUUCAUUAAUUUAGAAGACCUUGAAGACCCUAGAAACAAAGAGGUAUAUGAUAAUGUAUGAAAUUAACUCAUUCAAUACUGCAGUCUUGGAAGAGGUCAUUUAUCAUAUGGGGCAUGUGCUUCCUGAAAGGCAGCUUUAAACAUUAAUGAUUAAUUUAAAAGUUGAUGAACUAUUUAUAAAAAGAAACAGUGUUUUUUUGUUUUUAUUUGUUUUUGCAACCUACAAUGAGAUACUCCAAGAAUUUUGCUAGGAAGUUAAUAUUUUGGCAUAUAUAUUGUCUCAGGCUGCCAUAACGAAAUACCAUAGACUAGAUGGCUUAAACAACAGAAAUUUAUUUCUGAUAGGACUAGAGGAUGGGAAGUCCAAGAUCAAGGUGCCGGUAGUAGGUUUCACUAAGGCCUCUUCUCUUGCUGUGGGCACCUGGCAUCUGGCUGUGUGCUCACAUGGCUUCUCUGUGAGCGUGGAGGGAGAGAGAAAGCUAGCUCUUUGGUGUUUCUUCUGUAAGGAUGCUAAUUCCAUCAUGAGGGCCCCAUCUUCAUCUAAUCCUAUUCCCCUCCCAAAGACCCCAUUUCUAAAUACCAUCCAUUGGAGGUUAGGACUUCAAUAUAUGAAUUUUGGGUGGACACAAACAUUCAGUCUAUAACAUGUACUUUGUACAUACAUUUACUCAAAAGCUAUGCUUCUUUUAGACUGUUGCCUUGAAAGCCAGCAGGCAGGAAAGCCGGGAACAUCCAGCCAGUGUGAAGGGGCUGCCAAGAGGAAGUGAGUGGAGAAGGAAUACAGCUCUUGCGUCCUGGCUUGGUGAUGGAGGUUGGAUGGCACUGACUGCAGGGCCAGCUUUGUGGGGCCCCUGCCUUCUCCCUCAGACCUGCUUAGCAUGUUUGGUGAGGGGAAGGCAUUGUUAAGACAGUGCUUUUUCCAUCCAUCCGUGAGUUAAUUAUCCACAAGAAAAAUAGCACAAACGAUGUGACCGUCACUGGGACACCAACAGCAGCCAUCCAGGAGACCUCUGGCAGUCCCAUUUCAUCAAACAAAGUCUCCCAGGGUGGAAGAGCAGGGAUUCUGGGAGGCUACUUCUCAGUACUAGAUCUUCCAUUCUGUUCUAUCUGCAUUCUGCCCAACCAAAUUUUAACUCACUUCCCAAAACCUCAGAUACUUUGCAAUCCCAGGCCCUGAUGACAUGGCAAUUUCUCUUUGAGGGAAAUGAUGCCCCUCCCCUCAAACCAUGUGGUUCUUUCUCCUCUUCCCUCCCUUGGCUCAGGGACCAGCUUCUCCACUGACCUUCCCAGAAAACCCAGGCUUCCAGGGAUCUCGCCUCUGAGCACACAGCACAUUUUCUCUGUACCAUUUGAGCCAUCUCACCAACUCCCUGUGUUGUCAACAUGAAGAUUCUGAGGUCCUUAAGGUCGGGGGAAAAUGCAAUUAGAUUCUUCUUUGAACUUGCUCAGCUGCUGAGAACCAGGCUAGGAGAAGGCUCUGGAGUGUGUGCUGAUUGGCUCAGGCCCCCAGAUCAUCGGCCCUUGACAAACACUAAGUAAAUACAACAGGAAAUUCCUUUCCUCGACCAAGAGAACAUCUUGUUGCUAUGAAACGUGUAACAGUUAUGAAAGCCAUGACAAUGUGCUACAGCGAAACUGUCCCCCGUCAAGUAUUAGGAGAAAGAGAAAGGGACCACAGCUUAUUGGGGUGAUCACCAAGUGGCAGGUUCUGUCUAUUAUUUAAUUUAAUUUUCACAACAAACCUGUGAAUUAGGUAUUUGCUUCCCUGUGUAACCAGUGAGGAAGCUGAGCCUUGUAGAGAUUGACUUGCCCAAAGCCAACUAAUUAACAAAUGGCAGAAUAGGAAUAACAUUCAGAUUCAUUUGAUUUCUAAGUCUACGCUUUUUUCAUAUAUUAAAGCGCCUUCCAACACAUUAUACAUAUACAAGUAUAUUUUAUCACGGUAAAUUUCAGAUUUAAAACAUCCUCCUUAAUGCCAAGAAUUAAAUACAUGAAUGGGUUCUCAGAGCUUCCCUCAGUUACAUUGUGGCUUUACUCAGCUUGAUACCUGUGGACAGUGUUCAUGUCACUUCUGGGUUAGGCAAUCCUGAUCUGUCCAAUCUAAAGUGAUGACCUUCAGUGCUUUUUUGCUUUUUUCUUAUGUCAGGAAGUCAGGCAUUUAUUGAACUUUAAGGACAGACUUUAAGAAGGAACACAUGAAAAAAACUGACUAUUCUUAGUUAGCAGGGAAAUGCAAAUCAAAACCAUGAUGAGAUACCAAGUUACACCCAUUAGGAUGUCUGUAAUAAUAAUAAUAAUAAUAAGCGGAUGCGUGUAGUCCCAGCUUCUUGGGAGGCUGAGGCAGGAGAAUCGCUUGAACCUGGGAGGCGGAGGUUGCAGUGAGCUGAGAUUGCACCACUGCACUCCAGCUUGGUGACAGAGCAAGACUCUGUCUCAAUAAUAAUAAUAAUAAUAAUAAUAAUAAUAAUAAUAAGAUAUUAAGUGUUGAUAAAUGUGUGGAGAAAUUGGAGCCUCAUUCAUUGCUGGUGGGGAUGUAAAAUGGUACACCCACUUUGGGAAAUAGUCUGGCAGUUCCUAAAAAUGUUACAUAUAGAGUUAUCAUAUGACAUAGCAAUUCCACUUCUAGGUAUCUACCCAAGAGAAAGAGAAAGAUAUGUCCACAUAACAACUUGUACAUGAAUGUUUAUAACAGAAUUAUUCAAAAUAGCCAAUAAGGGGAAGCAAACUAAACGUCCAUCAACAGAUGAAUGGAAAAACAAAAUGUGGUAUAUCCAAACAAUGGAAUGUUAUUUGGUAAUAAAAGGAUUGAAUGCAAAAACAUGAAUGAAUGUUGAAAACAUUAUGUUAAGUGAAAGGAGCCAGGCACAAAAGACCAUACAUUCUUUGAUUCCAUUUAAGUGAAAUGUCCAAAAUAGGCAAAUCUAUAGAGACGGGAAAUAGAUUCGUGGUUUCCAGGGGCUGGGAAAAAGAGGGAGUGAUUCCCACUGUCUAAUGGUGUGAUGGUUAAUACUGAGUGUCAACUUGAUUGGAUUGAAGGGUGCAAAGUAUUGAUCCUGGGUGUGUCUGGGAGGGUGUUGCCAAAGGAGAUUAACAUUUGAGUCAGUGGGCUGGGGAAGGCACAGCCACCCUUAAUCUGGUGGGCAAAAUCUAAUCAGCUGCCAGCUAAUAUGAAGCAGGCAGAAAAAUGUGAAAAGGCGAGACUGGCCUAGCCUUCCAACCUACAUCUUUCUCCCGUGCUGGAUGUUUCCUGCCCUCAAACAUCGGACUCCAAGUUCUUCAGUUUUGAGACUCAGACUGGCUCUCCUUGCUCCUCAAGCUUGCAGACAGCCUAUUGUGGGACUUUGUGAUGGUGUAAGUUAAUACUUAAGAGACUCCCAUAUAUGCAUAUGUAUAUAUCCUAUUAGUUCUGUCCCUCUAGGGAACCUUGACUAAUACAAAUGGGUAUGGAUUUUCUUUUUGGGAUGACGGAGUAUUUUAAAGUUAGGUAGUGCUGAUGGUUGCACAGUAUUAUGAAUGCACUAAAAACUAUUGAAUUGUACACUGGCAUGGAUGAAUUCUACGUCAUGUGAAUUGUAUCUCAAUAAUGCUGUUAUUUAAGAAAAAAAGGAGAAAGAAAGGAAGGAAGGCAAAAGGAAGAAAGAAGGAAAGAAAGAAAGAAGAAAGCAGGCACCCCUACUGCCUGUUCUUGUAGAGCCCAGGGGUCUGGGUCAUUCAAGAAACUGGUCCACUAGCAGUUUCUCAAGUCCCCAUGCACCUUCUCAACACCACGCUUCUGUUCAUCCCAUUCAUCCUGGGAGGCUCUUCCCAGUUCUGUCUGCUUGGCCCAGUUCCCUUCAUACCCACUCUUCCCUGUGGUUUCCACAGAGUGACCUGGCAGGUUGCCCUGCUUUCUUAUCUGUGUGCCCAAAGACUGAGCUCUUUUGGGCUUGUCACAUGGUGCCAUGGUUCCUGGCCACCUGUCCAUCUUCCUGAUUACUCUGAAGGUUUGUGGAGGGUCAGGAAACAAUUGCAGUUAUUUUUGAGCACCUAGCAGCUGGCACAGGACCUGGCAGAGAGCAAAAGCGGGUAAUCGCAUGUGGAGUGGAACUGCGGCUAUCCACACAAAGGCCUUCCAUACACGCACACCAACCCCCCACCCCCCAACCCCAUCCCAGGGUAAAGCCAAGGCAGAAUUCACUGCAUUUCUUUUUAGCCAGUUUCCUCCUUCCUGUUAAAUUUAGGGCAAAUGAUCAGCUAUGUGUGUUGUGAUUGUGAUUAAAAAAAAAAAAUCCCCAGGUUUGUAAUCCAAUUCAGGAAACUGGAGAUUCUACUAACCAGUGCUGAGAAAGACUGGCAGGUUCUGCUAGAAAUUCAGAACGCCAAAAAAGUCAAAGGCGAUUACCUUGAAAAUAGCAAUUUACCUUAUGCUACCAACUUAUUUUGCCUUCUGUAGAAUAAGUAAAAUUGAUUUAAUUUAAUAAUGUGUUUGCCAAUUCUGAGAAAACUUG
rnacentral:lncRNA from 1 species